UAGGGAAUAUUGGACAAUGGGCGCAAGCCUGAUCCAGCCAUGCCGCGUGAGUGAAGAAGGCCCUCGGGUUGUAAAGCUCUUUUGUCCGGAAAGAAAAGCUUUGGGUUAAUACCCCGAAGUCCUGACGGUACCGGAAGAAUAAGCACCGGCUAACUUCGUGCCAGCAGCCGCGGUAAUACGAAGGGUGCAAGCGUUACUCGGAAUUACUGGGCGUAAAGCGUGCGUAGGUGGUUCGUUAAGUCUGAUGUGAAAGCCCUGGGCUCAACCUGGGAAUGGCAUUGGAUACUGGCGGGCUAGAGUGCGGUAGAGGGCAGUGGAAUUCCCGGUGUAGCAGUGAAAUGCGUAGAGAUCGGGAGGAACAUCUGUGGCGAAGGCGACUGCCUGGACCAGCACUGACACUGAGGCACGAAAGCGUGGGGAGCAAACAGGA
rnacentral:rRNA from 1 species